UACAGAGGUCCCAAGCGUUGUUCGGAUUCAUUGGGCGUAAAGGGUGCGUAGGCGGCGCGGGAGUCGGGUGUGAAAUCUCGGAGCUUAACUCCGAAACUGCAUUCGAUACUGCCGUGCUUGAGGACUGGAGAGGAGACUGGAAUUUACGGUGUAGCGGUGAAAUGCGUAGAUAUCGUAAGGAAGACCAGUGGCGAAGGCGGGUCUCUGGACAGUUCCUGACGCUGAGGCACGAAGGCCAGGGGAGCAAACGGGAUUAGAAC
rnacentral:rRNA from 1 species